rnacentral:rRNA from 1 species
UUGGUUCCGGCAUCGAUGAAGAACGCAGCGAAAUGCGAUAACUAGUGUGAAUUGCAGAAUUCCGUGAAUCAUCGAGUCUUUGAACGCACAUUGCGCCCCCUGGUAUUCC